rnacentral:rRNA from 1 species
CCUACGGGAGGCAGCAGUGAGGAAUAGUGGGCAAUGGACGAGAGUCUGAACCAGCGAAGUAGCGUGAAGGAUGAAGGCCCUAGGGGUGGUAAACGUCGUUUAUAAAGGAAUAAAACGAGGCACGUGUGCCUUUUUGCAUGUACGUUAUGAAUAAGGACCGGCUAACUCCGUGCCAGCAGCCGCGGUAAGACGGAGGAUCCGAGCGUUAUCCGGAUUUAUUGGGUUGAAAGGGGGCGUAGAUGGGUUGUUAAGUCAGUUGUGAAAGUUUGCGGCUCAACCGUAAAAUUGCAAGUGAUACUGGCAGUCUUGAGUACAGUUGAGGUAGGCGGAAUUCGUGGUGUAGCGGUGAAAUGCUUAGAUAUCACGAAGAACCCCGAUUGCGAAGGCAGCUUACUAAACUGUGACUGACAUUGAUGCUCGAAAGUGUGGGUAUCAAACAGGAUUAGAUACCCGAGUAGUC